GUAUGUUGAUGUGUGUAUGAUGGUUAGUGAGGUGUCAAUGUGAGAAGUAGAUGUAUGUAUGUUGAUGUGUGUAUGAUGGUUAGUGAGGUGUCAAUGUGAGAAGUAGAUGUAUGUAUGUUGAUGUGUGUAUGAUGGUUAGUGAGGUGUCAAUAUAAAGCCAGGAGAAUCCAUCCAGUCCCAAACACUCCUCUAGAUGACGCAUUUAGAAAGUAUUGGUGCUUAGUAUGUAGAAUGAAGGAGUAGACUUUCAAAUCCAUUGUUUAUUCUGUAAAUAUCAUAUUUAUAUAUUUGUUGAUCUGUAGGCGCAGUGAUUUUGUGAAGUUUUGUGAAACGGAAUCAAUGAAGGUGUGCUUUCUGUGUAAUGUUUAAAAAUGGCAGUUCUGCUACUGUUUAAAAUAAUAUACCAUUAGUUAUAUUUCAGUUGUCUUUUUGUUCAACUCGUUUGCAUUUAUUUCACUACACAAAAGAAGAACAGCCAAUGUGUGUACAUUUCAGUCACAACCUGCAACUCUUUUUCAAUUUGCAAACGCAGUUUCUUGCCAGUCAGUGGAUGUUUUUACGCUCUUGUGUAAAGUAACAAAUAAAUGCACAAAACUGUU